rnacentral:misc_RNA from 1 species
UACACUUCUUGUUUCAACUAUCUGCAAGUCAACAUUGUAAUCAAAACACAGUACUCCACACUAAUUAGAUAGCAGUGCUACUGCACAUAGGAAUCUUGUGGGACAUAGAUUUCUUAUGUGAUGUAGCUACAAAUGGAUCUCAAGUUCCAUGAUACAUAAUCAAAUGAAGAACCCAAUCAAUAGUCCAUUAAUUGACGGUAACAUACAUUUAGAACUUGCAAAUCUUCAAACUUAUUUGCAAAAAUGAAAAAAAUAUGCCUAGAGAAACAGCAUUUUACACCACUUAAGUACGACUGGUAGAUAGAGUAGCUUACCUUGAUUCUUUCAACAAAUUAUCAUUAUGGAACCCAGAAGUUGGAGACCUCAAAGUAAAUUACCAUUUACCAAUUUUAGAGGAAACACAGAGCAAACUGUAAAAAUCAAUAUCAUGAAGAAUAGAAAACCAAGAGAAAAACCCUCAACAGAAUGUAAACUUCCAUAAUUUAAAUUAGGAAACCUUGUCUCACUUUCCCAGGGCUGAGUUAAGAUGUAAUGACUGAGCCCAUGAUGCCCAAUUGACCAACCACCAAAUAUGUGUCUGAAUUCUACUACCUAACCCUCCCUCGAUCUUCCUCCUCUUCCUUUUCUCUCUUUCUUUUUGUUCUUCUAUUAUCUUUUAACAACCAGUCUCUGUCACUGUAAUCAAGGCAUAGACAGGAAAAAAAAAUCUGAUUGAAGAAAAUGGAGCCAUAUUGCACAAAAGAAGGUGGUAACCAAUUAAUCAUAUCCUGAUCUAAUUUCAAUCAUCAGUCCAGGCCUCAAGGAGAUCAUCAUAAUCCUUGAAUGUGAUAGCUCAGACAUUCAAAGAUGUUAUCGUACAAACACAACCAUUUAACCUCCGUAGAAGUUGCUCUUGGCAGCAGCUAUACCUAACAUGAUAUUUGCUUAUGCUUGCUAGAAAUUAGAAUAUUUGGUAAGCUUAAUAACAAAUAUAUCAUAAAAUGCAAAAUCAACAGGGUUGUAUAAUAAUACAUGUAGGAGAUUAUCAUAUUCCACAAUUCAAUUAUAACAAGCAUCCAUCACAGUCUCACUCACAUAUGGUCAGAGAAGCUUAACAACCCAUUGUUACUUUUAAUCAGAGAAAACAUUAAACAAUUAAAAAGAAAAGGUAGUGCUUCGAUCAAAUUCAUGUGAUCAAAUGUAGGACCAAUUGCACAUAGUUUGUAGGACUUACUAUACAACAAUUUUAGCGGAACAGAAAAACAUAUGAUAGCACUGAAAUAAAUAAAUAAAUAAUAAAGGGAAAUUAAAAACUCUUGCCUGGGGAGUUGAUAGAAUCUCAAA